rnacentral:rRNA from 1 species
GGGUUAAGUCCCGCAACGAGCGCAACCCUUGCCUUUAGUUGCCAGCAGUUCGGCUGGGCACUCUAAAGGGACUGCCGGUGUUAAACCGGAGGAAGGUGGGGAUGACGUCAAGUCCUCAUGGCCUUUAUGACCAGGGCUACACACGUACUACAAUGGCCGAUACAAAGGGCAGCGACACUGCGAGGUGAAGCCAAUCCCGUAAAAUACGGUCUCAGUCCGGAUUGGAGUCUGCAACUCGACUCCAUGAAGUUGGAAUCGCUAGUAAUCGUGGAUCAGCAUGCCACGGUGAAUACGUUCCCGGGCCUU